UACGUAGGUGGCAAGCGUUGUCCGGAUUUACUGGGCGUAAAGGGCUUGUAGGCGGUCCGCUAAGUCUGGUGUGAAAUCUCCCGGCUCAACCGGGAUAGGUCAUCGGAUACUGGCGGACUAGAGACGGGUAGAGGAAAGCAGAAUUCCCGGUGUAGCGGUGAAAUGCGUAGAUAUCGGGAGGAAUACCAGUGGCGAAGGCGGCUUUCUGGGCCUGUUCUGACGCUGAGGAGCGAAAGCGUGGGGAGCAAACCGG
rnacentral:rRNA from 1 species